AUUUGAUUUGUCAAAUGAUCUGCGGGAAAAGGUAGUUGAACUGUAUAAAACAGGAAAGGGAUAUAAAAAGAAUCCAAGGAAUUGAGAAUGCCAAUCAGCAAUGUUCAAACUCUAAUCAAGAAGUGGAAAAUGAGGGGUUCUGUUGAAACCAAACUACAGUCAGGUAGACCAACUAAAAUUGCAGCUACAACUGCCAGGAAAGUUGUUCGGGAUGCAAAGAAAAACCCACAAAUAUCUUUAGGUGAAAUACAGGACUCUCU